rnacentral:piRNA from 1 species
UACUUUGGUCCUAUCCUCAACUACCUCCGCC